GUGAGGGGGUGACUAGUGACAGAGUGAGGGGGUGACUAGUGACACAGUGAGGGAGGGGGUGACUAGUGACAGAAGGAGGGAGGGAGUAGUGACAGAGGGAGGUGGUGACUAGUGACAGAGUGAGGGAGGGAAGGGUGUGACUAGUGACAGUCACCACCUCCUUCACUCUGUCACUAGUCACCCCCUCCCUCACUCUGUCACUGUGUCACCCCCUUCCUCACUCUGUCACUAGUCACCCUCUCUCUCACUCUGUCACUAGUCACCCUCUCUCUCAC